GACGAACGCUGGCGGCGUGCUUAACACAUGCAAGUCGAACGAAAAGGCCCUGCUUUUGUGGGUUGCUCGAGUGGCGAACGGGUGAGUAACACGUGAGUAACCUGCCCUUGACUUUGGGAUAACUUCAGGAAACUGGGGCUAAUACCGGAUAGGAGCUCCUGCUGCAUGGUGGGGGUUGGAAAGUUUCGGCGGUUGGGGAUGGACUCGCGGCUUAUCAGCUUGUUGGUGGGGUAGUGGCUUACCAAGGCUUUGACGGGUAGCCGGCCUGAGAGGGUGACCGGCCACAUUGGGACUGAGAUACGGCCCAGACUCCUACGGGAGGCAGCAGUGGGGAAUAUUGCACAAUGGGCGGAAGCCUGAUGCAGCAACGCCGCGUGCGGGAUGCCGGCCUUCGGGUUGUAAACCGCUUUCGCCUGUGACGAAGCGGGAGUGACGGUAAUGGGUAAAGAAGCACCGGCUAACUACGUG
rnacentral:rRNA from 1 species